AGACAUGCCCACGGAAUGCGAUGUCUUGGAAUUCCCAACACAGCUCAUUUUGCCAACGUCACUCUCAUUGAAGACGCACUUGCACUGUGGUCCAAAAUCAAAACAAACAAAGAAUCAGAAAGAUGGAAACCAGACACAGAGGAAGAGUUUGAAGAUACAACAGGAAAUGUGUUUAACAAGAAAACAUACGAUGAUCUUAAGAGACAGGGACUUUUGUAGAGCGAGAUAGCAGCAAAAAUCUACAUUGUACAUAUAUGGACUCCCCAUCUACAGAUCAUAAAGACUUCAAACUUCAACACCUAGAUUUGACAUUCGAACUGAAGGGGGGGGGGUUGUUGGUGUAGAUGAAAUAUUUUUAUUUUAUAUUUUCAUUCAUGAAUUUGUUCUUCAAUCUUGAUCAUGGAAUCAUUAAAUAUGUAAUACACAACA
rnacentral:misc_RNA from 1 species